AGUGCCAAUUGCUCACGGCCAGCAGAGGCGGGCAAGGGGUCUGGACUGUGUCACGUCGUGCCUUCUUGGAGGCUGACUGCUCCCUCCAGCUCAAGGUCGACAUAUGUGGUGUAGUUGGCAGGAUCCAGAGCUACUCCCCCCAACCCUCCAGGGUUUCUCUCUGAAAGCCCUGCUUGGCACCAGCAGGAACCCAUCGCAUUCUCUCUGCCUUCAGAAGUUCCAACAGGUAUUUCAGAAACGCCUCUUAUUAAAGACCGGCUUGCCUGCAUCAGCUGUAGAAGCCCAGCCUCUCUGUAGUGCCACCUCCUAGAAUGGACACAGCUGUUUGACCGAAUGCUUCUACUCUUAGGACUAAGAGACUGAUUCAAGAAGAUAUGGGACAAUAUAUUUAUUUAUUUUUCUUUUCUGCUCAUCCCAAUUUGUUUUUUCCCCUUCUUUGCCUUCUUUUCCUCUAACCCAAAUCUCUCCAUAAUCACUGAUUCAGCUGUUGAUAUGUGAAACUUCUAGGGAAGUUCCAAAAAGGAGGAUUGAAGGAGUGCAGGGAACUUGGCCCCAAAAUAUGGCUCCCUGGUAUGAGUAUUUUCAAUUAAAGUCUCUCAAGAUCAACAGAAACUGGAAGAGUCCUCUCCCUUAUCUACAUGAAGACCCUGCAGACCCACCAAAGAGAACAAUUACUUUUCCUUCUCCUCCCUGUUAUCUCAUUAUCUAUUGCAGAAAAGAAAACCAACACAUGACCACACCUGAACAGACGCUUUCAAAAAAAUAAUCCAUUUCUCCAGCUUAUUAAAUUUUCAAAGAGAACCAUUUACGAAUUACUCUCUGUUUCUUGACCCAUUCAUUCUCCUUAAUAAUAAUUUAUUGCCCCUCAACAGAAUCACCUACAUUCCGCCUUCCACCCUCCUCUCUGAAAAAACGCUGUAUAAGCAUCUGGACCUCAUGGGAUAUUGGGUAAUCACCUUAUUUUUCCCCGUGUACACGUUAAUAAAUUUGUAUGCAUUUCUCUUAUUAAUCUGCAUUGUACACUUAAAAAAUAUUAAAAGAGUGAAAUUUAUGUUAUGAAUAUUUUAUCACAAUAAAACAAUAUUUU